GUGUCAGCCGCCGCGGUAAUACGUAGGGUGCGAGCGUUAAUCGGAAUUACUGGGCGUAAAGCGUGCGCAGGCGGUUGUGCAAGACAGAUGUGAAAUCCCCGGGCUUAACCUGGGAAUUGCAUUUGUGACUGCACGGCUAGAGUGUGUCAGAGGGAGGUAGAAUUCCACGUGUAGCAGUGAAAUGCGUAGAUAUGUGGAGGAAUACCGAUGGCGAAGGCAGCCUCCUGGGAUAACACUGACGCUCAUGCACGAAAGCGUGGGGAGCAAACAGGAUUAGAAACCCCAGUAGUCC
rnacentral:rRNA from 1 species